GAAAGCCUGUAUAACUCUAAUAUACAUCUCCUGAAUGCAACUCAGACACUUUAACUAAGCUAAGACCUCCCAGAUCGAUGG
rnacentral:tRNA from 1 species